CUAUAUUGUAACAAUUAAAUACUAAUAUAGACACAUAUAUGUGCUACAUUUUGUUCAGGAAGUUGCUAGUUUUCCCAAGAAGUACGGAAUCUGAGCAUUAUAUUAUUAUUGGUUAUUAUUCGCCGCUAGAGGGCGCUGAAUGGAUCGCAACGUGAGGAAGUUAUCCUGGACGAGCAGAGCAGAAGCUUGCUACAUCGUCUUUUAUCAGAAGAGGAUUCAUGAUCCAUUUCAAGGUUGCUCUGGGCCGAGCGAGCUUUAAUCCUCCUUGAUAAUCUUGUUGAGAAAGGUACCCCUGGAGAUGACCACUUCCAGUUAUCUUUUCUCCAUUGCUAAACUGGAUUGCUCAGGACAGGUAUUUUAUACCCACACACCAAAGAAACUUUUUGAAGUUUGGGGAGAUGCAUCACUGCGG